rnacentral:miRNA from 1 species
AAAUACUUCCUCUGAUCACUG